rnacentral:lncRNA from 1 species
CAAUGCAUAUAUAUACCUACACUGUCUACGAAUUAACCUAGCUUCUGCUAAUUGCAUUGCCGCAUGCAUAUACUCCUGCAACAGUUGCUGGGGGCACCUACCAAGCUACCUAGCAGUGAAUGGAUGGAUUAAUUAACCGCUCUAUACGGAUCUUGUAUAACAUUGAUGUAUACAUUCAGAUACGCAUGCAGAGAAAUUAAUGGUCGUACACACAUGAAUUAUUAUACAAUUUACGUACUCCUAUGCAUGUAUAAUGAUCAUUAAUUUUCCCAUCAGAUGAGAAUGAGAUAUAUAUGAUCCCAAUUAAGCUAGCUAGCUACUAGCUGAUUGGUUUUGU